GGUUACGGCUGUAGGCCAUAAUCACAGGCAAGCAACAAGGAGGCAACAUCUUUUGGGAGCUAAAUUUGCAAAAACCUGUAAAGUCAUGGUAACUGCAGCCCUGAAGACAAGGCCCAGCUAUUACCAAAGCAGAUUCAGAUAGAGCUGAUGGAGAAUAGCUGCUGCAAACCAACAGGCUUUGGAGAACUGUGCUUCCCUUCAGACAGCUCCUCUGUCUGCCUUUUUUGACUAACUAAAAAGUACUGCCACCUCUGACUCGGAUUCUAAAGUGGAUUUUCCCUACUCAUGCUUCCUAGAUUUGGUGAGGAUUUGGUUGAGUCAUGGGACAUUUGAGCUUGUCAAGGUAAGGCUUCAUUGUGGCUUCGUGUGGCCCUUCUGGGAUCACUGAUGUGCCUGGGCCAGGUUCAUUUGUAUUUGAAGGAUGGAGGAGUUGGUUUGGAGGCACAGUCUAAGAGGAGGGGAGAAGUAGAGGGUGAAGAGGAGGGCACACAGCAGGUCUCUUUAUGGCACCUUUUACAGAGUUGGCAUCUUGGCAAUUAGGGUAUUGGGGACCAAAAGCUGAUGCACCACUUUAACAAAAUAUUUUGUAAAUGUAGGUCAGGGUGGAAGUCAGAAACACAGGCAGGACUUACAAGAGGCUGUGGGCACUCUUCCUCUGAGGCUUAAGUGACAAGGUGGGAGACAGGACUGGGUGGAGGCCACAGUUCUUCCAUGUUGAAGAACUCUCUAGCAACCUGAAGACUGGCCACCUUGGGACCAACCCAGCGAUGCUGGGUGCUUUCUUGGUAGACUCCUUGGAGAGGCAGUGGUGAGGAGUCUUUGUGUUCUGUGGACAACUGGGGACUGGAACAUGGGAAGUUGGGUGGUUACAACUGUAAUUAAUAGACUGAUCUGUGGCCUACAUGACACCCACCUGAAAGAAUUCUUGCCCAGCUCUGUGAUUCCGUCCUCAGAUGUGGCACCCAGAAUGGCACCAAACACGCCUCCUGGUGAGUGAGGGGCCUCCUGGUUUGGAACACGAGUAAGCAGCUUCUCUGCUAUGUUUUCAGUAGCUUUCCUGAUAACACUCAGCAUUUGUUUAGCUUCUUUAACUUCAGCAUGUGUUUCCACCGUGUCCCCCAACAGAGAGGAUUGCUAUGUCAGUGGAGAAGUGGAGGGGCUGAAAAUGGACUCAGCUCUUGGUCCCUGUAGAGACUGUAAGACUCUGUGCACACCGUGACCAUCCAGGGCUUCUUCUGAGCCCUGUGCUGUUCAGAAUGAUUGCACAACCUACCACGCUUCGUUACUGCAAAGGGAACACCGGCUGGGAGUUGGCCAAGGCCCUGCUAAGACAAGGCCACUUGCACAGGAUUCUAAAUUCCUAAAAAAAAGUCCUUUCUUAUUGACUGAAAAACUGGUUCUGUUCUUCAUAUUUCUUACUUUCUGGAGCUGAAUUAUUAACAGGCAAAAAUUGGGUGGGGCUUCAUUGAUAUUCUCUCUAGCUUUUCCAAACCAAGAAUCAGAAAGUGUGCCUCGGUGAAUUGCCUUUUGUUAGCAGCGUGGAGAUGCAGGCAAAAAUGAGCAGUGUGGUUUGUGUUUGUAGCUGCCUCUCCCCUCUCUUCAGCGUCUCUCCUUCCCGGCUGCAAGGUACGUCUUUAAUGUGCCACACUGACAAGGCAUUUCAGUCAUGCAGCUAAUUAAAAUCAUUCUGAGGCUCAAUGUGACACGUCCUUCAGACUCAUAAAACCAGAAACCACUAACAAACGUUAUUCCUUUUCUGAUCUCUUUCUCUUUCUUUUAAACAUGUUGAUUUACUUUCAGUAUGCAUAACCAAAAAAGAAAAAACAAACCAAUAAAAAUACUGAUGAAAAUGCCUGGUGCCAUGGCUUGAAUGCGUUUUAGACUUUCCAAGCCAGCAAGACCACAGCCAGGAAAACAGAAAAGAGAAAAAUCACCCUUGCCUUUCAGGACAUGAGCAUAGGAGGAAAACGAAACAUCAGACGGGCGUAUCCUUUACGGACCAUGAGUCACUUCCGGGGGGCUGUCUCAAGGCAGCCCCAGUUACCUGGAGAAUACAAAAAAUGGCCUGGCCAAAGUUCAAACACCAGAGUGGCCAAACAAAGGGAUUCCCAGAGAAGAAGAGGGGUAGUCAAAGCUCUGACAGCUCCCAGCCCUGAUGAAAAAUGACUGUGGAGAAUUCCCAUUAAGGAUACUUGAAACCACAGUUCUUAUCUUUCCCUCCUUCCCCUUUUCUCAGCUGAGGACAUGCAGAAUAUCUUUUCCCUCCAGUCUUAUCCGUGUCCCAGAGACAGACUGUGUUCACUUAGGUCAAACCCAGUCAGGGUGGAGGGGUCAGGUUAGGCUCCCAGCUAAUGAAAAACCAGCAGCUUCAAAGUUGGCUGGUUUGCCAGUUCUCUCAAAAAGAUCCACACCCAGUAAAAAUCAUUCUUAAAUUCAUCCUACUGAUGGACGCACCUGAAUAUUUGAAAAAAAAUUUCAAAAAUAUUUG